UACGGAGGGUGCAAGCGUUAUCCGGAAUCACUGGGUUUAAAGGGUGCGUAGGCGGUUCGAUAAGUCAGAGGUGAAAGCUAGCAGCUUAACUGUUAAAUUGCCUUUGAUACUGUUGGACUUGAAUCAGGUUGAGGUAGGCGGAAUGUGACAUGUAGCGGUGAAAUGCAUAGAUAUGUCAUAGAACGCCAAUUGCGUAGGCAGCUUGCUGGGCUUGAAUUGACGCUGAGGCACGAAAGCGUGGGGACCAAACAGG
rnacentral:rRNA from 1 species